AUAUCACAUCACAACAGUGUGUUGAGUUGUGUUCAUCUGUUCAUGUGAGGACACAAUAACAACAACAACAAUAACAACAACAACUGAAAGCAGCAUUAAAUCAGGAACCAAUUAUGCUUCACCAAAACUACAAGGUUGGGGGAGGAUCCUCUUUGUGCCCGUGGGUUUAGCAGCUCUCAUAAUAAUUGUUGUGGCGGUCAACAUGUGGACGAGAGCUAAAGAGAAGAAAACACAGACGGAGGAAAUCGCUGUGCGUUAUGAUGUAGAUGAUGAUACAGUGAACUAUGAAAACAUCAGAUCUCCUGAUGGAGUUUGACCAACACUUCUGCCUCCAUCAGACUCCACUGAUCAACUCGUCACCUUUUACUGGACUAGUUCAAGACUGGAAAUAACUAAAAGAAUCAUCAAGGCUUAUUUCAUUUUAGUCUGAUGUAUUUUCCUGCAUCAAUUGUAAAAAAAAAAUGUUCUCAUCUGCAGCCAGUUGAGAACAGCAGCUGGAUUUGAACUUCAUUUAACUCUUGUUAACUUCCUGAAAUAGUCUUCCAGUUGUGGAUUUCAGAGCUGAUUUUAAGAUGUACUGCUUGUUGUUGAAGCUCCAGCAGCUUGAGAGGUGUGUGUGUGUGUGUGUGUGUGUGUGUGUGUGUGUGUGUGUGUGUGUGUGUGUGUGUGUGUGUGUGUGUGUGCGCGUGUACAUGCGUGUGUGUGAAUGUGUCCCUAAUAGAUUCAGUAACAGUCUUCUCUUCAUUCUGUGAUUACAAUAUUGUAGUAAACUUGGGUGGUGGUUGUCUGUGAGGACUGUGACAACUAAUCAAAGACUAAUAAGAUCCACCUGAUCCACAUUGUUGCUGCUGUCAGAGACUCUGCUAGUUGAUCAGUCUCAGCUGGACUUGAUUGCUGAGACACUGAACUGAUAAAGUAGAGCCGAGCGAGUGGCAUGGUGUUCUGGGGGAGGGGAGCAUGUUUCUGGUUGUCAGGUUAGGGUUGUUUGCACGACCAAGCCACUGGUAUUGCACUCACAGGAUGGGGGUCUGUUCACAGCCGGUUAGGGCUGCCGGCGGUGAAGACAGAAAGACUAGGAAUAGAGUUCCUGCGCUAGGGGCCGAUGACAGUGAGGGACCGGGGGAACUAGGAGUGCUGCCUGUUCUCCAGCUCUGUUUGAUAGUCUAUAUCCUUGACGUUCCACUUCCAGGAUUGCUUCGGGACCGCAGGAUGCAUAUAUUUAUGCCGAUUUCUGUUUCUUUCCGCUUUCUUUUUUUGUUGGAAUUUUAAACUCCGGUGGAUUUCUGAGGACUAUGGUUAACUGCUCCUCAGAUCUCUGCAGGGUAAAUCCAGACAGCUAGACUAUCUGUCCAAUCAGAGUUUUCUCUCGCACGACUAUUUUGCAAAGGCUCCGUACAGAGUUUAGCUCCGCCCAUAACGAUUCUGAUUAAAGAAAUGCCACUAAACCAGAGCACGUUUUCCUCCCAUCCCCGAAUGCUAUGUGGAGUAGCCAGACCGUCCUUCAGGGCACAUUGGAGGAGGGUCUGGCAAAGCGAGACUACGGUUUGUGGACAUCUGACACGCUGUCAGCCGCUCUGUUGCUCCAGCGCUGGACAGACCUCACCCCCAGGGGAUCCGAUCGCAUAUGAGCCGGUUCGGACCAGUGUCUAGUUUUGUCUGUAGGCCUAUUUACUGUUUAUAUAUGUACAAUAUGAGUGGGUUUUAAAGCUGCAGCAACAGUAACUGACUGGUGGUAAGCUGUGUGGGAGUUAGCUGAUUGGUACGGGUGGAUACAAGCCUGUCUAGCCCAGGUUAAUUAAAUGGGGGGCCGAUAGUGUAAGUGAUAGCCUAGUGUGUUGAUCUGAGGUGAAAACAAGUGUGCAGUAUCCUGCAUUCAGUUCAUUGUGGUUGAAUGCGCUUUGCAAAGUUUGGCGUGUGUAUUUGCAUGUUGAUUGCUGUGUGAUUACCUGCAU